rnacentral:sRNA from 1 species
GGCGGAGGGAUCAUUACAGAGUUAUCUAACUCCCACCCUUUGUUUAACUAUACCUUUGUUGCUUUGGCAGGCCUGCCUUACAGCUCCCGGCCACUUGGCUGGGUCGUGCCUGCCAGAGGACCUAAAACUCUUAUUAUUCAGUAUUGUCUGAGCCAUGAUUUAAUCAUAUAAAACUUUUAACAACGGAUCUCUUGGUUCUGGCAUCGAUGAAGAACGCAGCGAAAUGCGAUACGUAAUGUGAAUUGCAGAAUUCAGUGAAUCAUCGAAUCUUUGAACGCACAUUGCGCCCCUUAGUAUUCUAGGGGGCAUGCCUGUUCGAGCGUCAUUACAACCCUCAAGCUCUGCUUGGUAUUGGGCCGUGCCGGUUAGGCAGGCCUCAAAAUGAGCGGCAGGACUCGUAUCAGACCUGAGCGUAGUAAUUCUUUCUCGCUUUGGGGACGGUGCGGCCUCGCCAAACACCAUAUUUUUUACAGGUUGACCUCGGAUCAGGUAGGGUUACCCGCUGAACUUAAGC